rnacentral:rRNA from 1 species
AACGAACGCUGGCGGCAGGCUUAACACAUGCAAGUCGAACGCAUCCUUCGGGGUGAGUGGCAGACGGGUGAGUAACGCGUGGGAACGUGCCCUUCAGUUCGGGAUAACCCAGGGAAACUUGGGCUAAUACCGGAUACGUGCGAGAGCAGAAAGAUUUAUCGCUGAAGGAUCGGCCCGCGCCUGAUUAGCUAGUUGGUGGGGUAAUGGCCCACCAAGGCGACGAUGAGUAGCUGGUCGGAGAGGAUUAUCAGCCAUAGUGGGACUGAGACACGGCCCAAGCUCCUACGGGAGGCAGCAGUGGGGAAUAUUGGACCAUUGGCGCAAGCCUGUGCCAGCCAUGCCGCGUGAGUGAUAAAGGCCUUAGGGUUGUAAAGCUCUUUCGUCCGGGACGAUAAUGACGGUACCGGAAGAAGAAGCCCCGGCUAACUUCGUGCCAGCCGCCGCCGUAA